UACGAAGGGUGCAAGCGUUACUCGGAAUUACUGGGCGUAAAGCGUGCGUAGGUGGUUUGUUAAGUCUGAUGUGAAAGCCCUGGGCUCAACCUGGGAAUUGCAUUGGAUACUGGCAGGCUAGAGUGCGGUAGAGGAUGGCGGAAUUCCCGGUGUAGCAGUGAAAAUGCGUAGAGAUCGGGAGGAACAUCUGUGGCGAAGGCGGCCUCUGGACCAGCACUGACACUGAGGCACGAAAGCGUGGGGAGCAAACAGG
rnacentral:rRNA from 1 species